rnacentral:rRNA from 1 species
ACCGGGAGUCAGAGUGCGAGUGAUAAGACCCGUACUCAAGAGGGAAACAGCCCAGACCGCCGGCUAAGGUCCCAAAUGCCGUGCUAAGUGGGGAAGGAUGUAGGAGUUCGAAGACAGCCAGGAUGUUGGCUCAGAAGCAGCCACCAUUAAAAGAGUGCGUAACAGCUCACUGGCCGAGAGGUCCUGCGCCGAAGAUACCCGGGGCUCAAGCACGGAACCGAAGCCGCGGCAUGUACCAAGUACAUGGGUAGGGGAGCGUACCGCCAUCGGCGAAGCAUGACCGGAAGGACAUGUGGAGAGGGCGGCAGUGAGAAUGCCGGUAUGAGUAGCGAAAAGGACGGUGAGAAUCCGUCCCACCGAAAGCCUAAGGUUUCCCGGGCAACGNNACCGUUUGAGGAUGGAGUGACGCAGGGGGCAGUCCGGGCGCGCGGCUGGAAGAGCGCGUCGAAGGCUGCGGGCCGCAGGGGAGGCAAAUCCCCUCUGCACGAGGCCGAGAGCUGACCGGGAGCCGAACCUUCGGGGAAGGCGAAGCCGGAUGGGCCGCACUGCCGAGAAAAGCUUCUAACGAGGUGACAUGUGCCCGUACCGUAAACCGACACAGGUAGGCGGGGAGAGAAUCCUAAGGUGCGCGGGAAAACCCUCGUUAAGGAACUCGGCAAAAUGUAUCCGUAACUUCGGGAAAAGGAUAGCCGGAACUGGUGAACCCGGUCAGGGGGAGCUGGAGCCGGCCGCAGAGGAGAGGCCCAGGCGACUGUUUACCACAAACACAGGUACCUGCGAAAGAGAAAUCUGAAGUAUAGGCGCUGACGCCUGCCCGGUGCCGGAAGGUUAAGGGGAAAGGUUAGCCGCAAGGCGAAGCUUUGAACCGAAGCCCCGGUGAACGGCGGCCGUAACUAUAACGGUCCUAAGGUAGCGAAAUUCCUUGUCGGGUAAGUUCCGACCNNACUGCAGCCUGGCAUUGAUCCCUGGCGGCCCAUGUACAGGAUAGGUGGGAGGCGGAGAAGGGUGAGCGCAAGCUCAUCUGGAGCCGAUGUUGGGAUACCACCCCUGGGCCGUUGGGGACCUAACCGAGGGAAAGACCUUCCCCGGGACAGUGCCAGGGGGACAGUUUGACUGGGGCGGUCGCCUCCGAAAGAGUAACGGAGGCGCCCAAAGGUUCCCUCAGCGCGGACGGAAAUCGCGCGAAGAGUGUAAAGGCAGAAGGGAGCUUGACUGCGAGGCGGACAGGCCGAGCAGGUGCGAAAGCAGGGCUUAGUGAUCCGGUGGAAUGAAAGUGGAAUUGCCAUCGCUCAACGGAUAAAAGCUACCCUGGGGAUAACAGGCUGAUCUCUCCCAAGAGUCCAUAUCGACGGGGAGGUUUGGCACCUCGAUGUCGGCUCAUCACAUCCUGGGGCUGGAGCAGGUCCCAAGGGUUGGGCUGUUCGCCCAUUAAAGUGGUACGUGAGCUGGGUUCAGAACG